UACCAGAAGACUUCUACCUUUUUCGAACGCUUAAAUUAAACUAAAGUGUACAAAAAUAUUUUUAAACAUCAAAAAAUACACAUUAGUCAAUAAACAAUUCACAAAAUUUACAAAAAAUCUCGAAAAAGGCAAAUAGUACAAAAUUUCUAAGUGCUAAAUUCAAACGAAACACAACAAAUCAAAUUACACCGUAAAUACGGUAAUUUACGGUACCGGGUUCCAGUAGCGCUGCUUACGUCACAAAGCCAAAAACUUGCAACACGUAAAAAUCCACCGCCGCUGAUAACGCUUGUUUGUCAACACGAGAGGAGGAAGACAUCUACUUUUCUUCACAAAAAGGUAACUCUUGUGAUGACACAUGUAGGCAAAAUAUACGUAAAGUUAAAAUCUGUUAAAAAAACGUAAUAUCGGCUGGCGCCACACAGCCUCACAGCCAUAAAAAUAUGACGCGUGUCGAACGUUGGUAAACCACUGACCACCCUUCCGAGUUGCUAAUGUGCAACAAACGGUUCGUAAUUGCAGUAUUGCACAUUACGAACCGUAAGCAAUUUAAGUCAAAAUGUCUAAGCAAUUUAAGUCAAAAUGUCUUUUAGCCAACCCUUUACAUGAUGAUUUUUCCCUACAAAUACUCUGGUGAGUCCAGGGUUUGGGAUGAUUCGGUUUUCUAUCUUGUAGACGAAAGUCUUAAGUUUAGCUUCGGUUUAAGCUUAUUGUUUCUGUAUAUACUUGUGUUAAAUUCGUGAAAUAAAGUGAAAGUAUUAAUUAUUCAGUUUGUCGACUAUUUAAUUGAAAAGGUCCAUAAGACCCAUUACAAUUUGGCGCCCAACGAAAAAGAGCUUUGAAAGCUUUCGCGAAUCAAUUGAAUUUUCGUGAUUUUAAAUUAAAAAUCGUUUUUCUCAAAACGUAAUUGAAUACUUGAUUUUUUUUGGCAAAUUAUUUGAAUUUUCGUGAUUUUUAGUAAAGUUUCAAUUGAAUUUUUCUUCUCAUAUCUACCGAAUUCGAAUUCGUGAAUUUUUUUUUCCUGUCAUAAACGUAAUUGAAUACUGGAAUUUUUUUUUAAAUCAAAGUUGUGAAUUUUUUAUCGGAGAUUUUUUUGGUGAAUCUCAACGAAUUUUUACGAAUUUUAACGAAUUUUUGUGAAGUUUCUUGUGUCCGAAUCUGUAAAAUCAAAAAACGUGAAUUUUUUUAAUCAAAUUUCAACGAAUUUUCCCGAAUUUCAACGAAUUUUCCUGAAGUUUUUCGUGUCCGAAUCUGUGAAGAAGUUCUUCUUGAAGGUCAACAGACGAUUACUUCCUGGAAAGUGGUUUUCAAGUCAAUUUUUCAAUUCAAUUUUCAAGAUGAUUCCUUACAAUGAACCUGAACCGUUAAGUCAAGCCACCAAAGCUCAAAUAAUGAGACUGGUCAAUCAUUACGUACAUAGAGAAAAACAGACCAUUAUUUUCUACGAUGACCAUGAUACAUGGGAUCUUGCGCACCCAGACGUUGCAGGGUACCAUGUACCCUUCUUUAAUGUGACCUGGGAUGAAAUUGACGAUGUUCAAAGGACAAUGAACAAACUUUUCUAUUAUUUAGGCAUUGAAGCCUAUGUAUUUUUCAUAACUGUGCCAAAUAAAAUUUUCGUUUUCGAUGUAAUAAUUUCAAACGAACGAAUUCUGCCCGAAUUAUUAUUGAAACCUGGGCAAUGAAACCAAAAAUGGAAAAAUGAAAAAUUCUACUUUUUUUGCUAUGUUAUUUUUUCAAUAUUUUUAUGCUAGUUUUUUAUUAUAUCAAGCAUGUACAUAGGUAGCUUUUAAUUAUAAGUAGGGCAACCCAAAAUAUGCUCUCAUUCAAGGUAAAGUACCUAUUGAAUAGGAAUUAUAUUCGAUUUUUCUUUGGAAUGAAACAUUUCCAAAAUAUUCAUAUACCCUACUUGAAAAUUUGAAUACAAAUGGGUAUCGUUUUCACUCGUUUUGAUGAGCACAAUUCAUAAUCAUUAAUUUUAAAUUCGUCAUUCCAUCAAUCAGCAAAUCAUAAUCAUCAAAAAACGACUGUGAACAUGACAUUUGCGAUCUUCCGAUCCUAAAACUGCUCAAAAUAUUCAAUAAAUUGUGAAAUAUGACGAUUUUCAGCAGAAAAUAUUCAGAAAUCUUUAAAUUGAGCUCAUUACAAAAAAAAAAAAACAUUCAAAAAAUAUAUUGGGUUGUCCCCAUGAAUAACAAACAGUAGUUUUUCUUAUUGUAUAAUUUAUUCUAUAAAAAUACGUAUAAAAAACAAAAAAAAAACAAUUAGUUUAAAUACAUACAUAUCUAAUAACUGUACAAAAAUUAAUAUUUUACCUUUUUUUUUACAGGUUAAUUAAAAUUACUUUUCACAAUUUUUUUUUCUCACUCUUUCUUCGGACUUGCUUGAUAUCAACUCAAACGUUUGAACGGUGCCUCUGAAAAUUACAAAAACAAAUACCUCAAUAAAAAUAAAACAAAACAAAAAAAUUGUGAUUGAAAAAAUAAAUAAAUCAAAUAAACAAAUAAAAGAACCUUUUUUGGAAAAAACAAAUGACAAAAAAAAAACCAUAAAAACUUCGAAAACAAAAUUCUAAAUUUAAAAAAAAAAAAAAAAAAAAAAAGGAAAAUAAA